AUGGCGUGGUGGUGGUCGGCCCUGGUGGCGGAGGCCAUGGCUACGCUCGCCGUGGUGGUGGCCGGCCCGGAGGCGCUCCCCAUGGCAUGGUGGUGGUCGGCCCUGGCGGCGGCGGCUGUGGCUGCGCCGGCUGUGGUGGUGGCCGGCCCGGAGGCGCUCCCCAUGGCGUGGUGGUGCUCCUGGACGGGACCCUGGUACGCCGUACGCGUGCGCGAGCUCGAGGGCCUCUCACUCGGCCUCGCGGAGCUGCACGCACAGCCGCUCCUCGGCCUCCUCCGCCGCCUCGGGGCGCAGUCGCGCGGCCUCCAGCUCCACCCGCAGCAGCGCCACCUCCCGCUCCAGUUCGGCGUCUACGCCGGUCCGGGAGAGCAUGGCCCGGCACGGCCGGCGGGCAAUAGAAAAGCGCGGGGAGGUGGCAACGCCAACAGAAACCAAGCCAAUCACGAUGGACAAAGGAACGUCUGCUCGUGUGCCAUGGAGGAAUGGGUGCUCCGCCCGCCGGACAGCAACAACAGCACCGCCCUAGACGACAUCCUCCCGUGCGCCGACGCGGCGGCGACCUCGGAGGCGCUGCGCCGGAGCAAGGAGGUGAACCACCAGCUGGUGGCCACCCUCAACGACGUGCUCGCCAAUGUCUCCAACGCCAACGCCUUCCCGCCGGGCUCCGGGCCGCCUCUCAACUACAACCAGUCGGGCCCGCCGGUGCCGCUCCUCUGCAGCCCCUACCGCGCCGACCUGUCCGACCGCCCCUGCGCCGCCGGCGAGGUGCCGGCCGCCCUCGCGCCGCAGGCGUGGCGGGGCCACGUGUGCCAGGUGGAGGGUGCGCCGGGCCCGGAGACGUGCGCGACCCCUGGGCGGCUCACGCCGUCGAUGUACGCCCAGGCGCUGGCCGUGGCGAACGCCAGCGCGUGGCUGGUUGGCGCUGAUCCAAGUGCAGGGAAGAACGGCAUGGAUUCCCGCUGCGAAUGGAACGCGAAUGAGAAAAACCGCAUCCGAGACGAUGGUCAAGAGUCAAGACAAGAGUACUAUUUCACUGGCUUGGGACCGAGAUCAUCAAUCUUUUAA
rnacentral:rRNA from 1 species